rnacentral:tRNA from 1 species
GUUUCCGUAGUGUAGCGGUUAUCACGUGUGCUUCACACGCACAAGGUCCCCGGUUCGAACCCGGGCGGGAACACCA